rnacentral:rRNA from 1 species
GAUGAACGCUGGCGGCGUGCCUAAUACAUGCAAGUCGAGCGAACAGAUAAGGAGCUUGCUCCUUUGACGUUAGCGGCGGACGGGUGAGUAACACGUGGGUAACCUACCUAUAAGACUGGGAUAACUUCGGGAAACCGGAGCUAAUACCGGAUAAUAUUUCGAACCGCAUGGUUCGAUAGUGAAAGAUGGUUUUGCUAUCACUUAUAGAUGGACCCGCGCCGUAUUAGCUAGUUGGUAAGGUAACGGCUUACCAAGGCGACGAUACGUAGCCGACCUGAGAGGGUGAUCGGCCACACUGGAACUGAGACACGGUCCAGACUCCUACGGGGGGCAGCAGUAGGGAAUCUUCCGCAAUGGGCGAAAGCCUGACGGAGCAACGCCGCGUGAGUGAUGAAGGUCUUCGGAUCGUAAAACUCUGUUAUUAGGGAAGAACAUACGUGUAAGUAACUGUGCACGUCUUGACGGUACCUAAUCAGAAAGCCACGGCUAACUACGUG